GACGAACGCUGGCGGCGCGCUUAACACAUGCAAGUCGAGCGAUAACCAUGGCUUCGGCCAUGGGGAGAGCGGCGAACGGGUGAGUAACACGUGAGUAAUCUGCCCUCGACACUGGGAUAG
rnacentral:rRNA from 1 species